rnacentral:rRNA from 1 species
CUACGGGCUGCUCCAGUCGCGAAAACUCCGCAAUGCGCGAAAGCGUGACGGGGGGAUUCUGAGUGCUUCGGUUUCACCGAGGCUUUUCGUAAGGGUACAAACCUUGCGGAAUAAGUGGUGGGCAAGACUGGUGCCAGCCGCCGCGGUAACCCCAGCGCCACAAGUGGGAACCACGUUUAUUGGGUCUAAAGCAUCCGUAGCCGGUUUGUUAAAUGCCCUGUGAAAUCGUUCUGCUCAACAGGACGGCGUGCAGGGUAGACUGGCAGACUUGGAACCAGGAAAGGUAUGCGGUAUUUCGUGGGGAGCGGUAAAAUGCUAUAAUCCACGGAGGACCACCAAUGGCGAAGGCAGCAUACUUGAAUGGAUUCGACGGUGAGGGAUGAAAGCUAGGGGAGCGAUCCGGAUUAGAUACCCGAGUAGUC